GAUGAAUGCUGGCGGCGUGCUUAACACAUGCAAGUCGAACGAUGAAGCUCAGCUUGCUGGGUGGAUUAGUGGCGAACGGGUGAGUAACACGUGAGUAACCUGCCCUUAACUCUGGGAUAAGCCUGGGAAACUAGGUCUAAUACCGGAUAGGAGCGCCUACCGCAUGGUGGGUGUUGGAAAGAUUUAUCGGUUUUGGAUGGACUCGCGGCCUAUCAGCUUGUUGGUGAGGUAAUGGCUCACCAAGGCGACGACGGGUAGCCGGCCUGAGAGGGUGACCGGCCACACUGGGACUGAGACACGGCCCAGACUCCUACGGGAGGCAGCAGUGGGGAAUAUUGCACAAUGGGCGAAAGCCUGAUGCAGCGACGCCGCGUGAGGGAUGACGGCCUUCGGGUUGUAAACCUCUUUCAGUAGGGAAGAAGCGAAAGUGACGGUACCUGCAGAAGAAGCACCGGCUAACUACGUG
rnacentral:rRNA from 1 species